rnacentral:rRNA from 1 species
GAUGAACGCUGGCGGCGUGCUUAACACAUGCAAGUCGAGCGAGAGAGUUCUUCGGAACAAUCUAGCGGCGGACGGGUGAGUAACACGUGGGCAACCUGCCUCAUAGAGGGGAAUAGCCUUCCGAAAGGAAGAUUAAUACCGCAUAACAUCGUUGAAGGGCAUCCUUCGAUGAUCAAAGGAGCAAUCCGCUAUGAGAUGGGCCCGCGGCGCAUUAGCUAGUUGGUGAGGUAACGGCUCACCAAGGCGACGAUGCGUAGCCGACCUGAGAGGGUGAUCGGCCACAUUGGGACUGAGACACGGCCCAGACUCCUACGGGAGGCAGCAGUGGGGAAUAUUGCACAAUGGGGGAAACCCUGAUGCAGCAACGCCGCGUGAGUGAUGACGGCCUUCGGGUUGUAAAGCUCUGUCUUUGGGGACGAUAAUGACGGUACCCAAGGAGGAAGUCACGGCUAACUACGUGCCAGCCGCCGCAGUAA